AAGAUGAUUAACACAUACGGCAUCAUCUCUAUUGAUCAAACACUCUAAAAAUUCUCCCCUUAAUCGUUCUCUAUCAACCGGUUGUUGUCUAAUGCAAUUAUUUUCAUAAAACCACAUUGAAGAAUGACUCACUAUGAUUAAAAUUGUAAAACAAAGAUCAAUCAUCUCUAAAAAUGAUUGCUGCAAAAUUUGAUAUAACAUCAAAUUUUG
rnacentral:lncRNA from 1 species